UACGUAGGGGGCAAGCGUUGUCCGGAUUUAUUGGGCGUAAAGAGCGUGUAGGCGGUUUGGUAGGUCCGUUGUGAAAACUCGAGGCUCAACCUCGAGACGCCGGCGGAAACCAUCAGACUAGAGUCCGGAAGAGGAGAGUGGAAUUCCUGGUGUAGCGGUGAAAUGCGCAGAUAUCAGGAGGAACACCGGUGGCGAAGGCGGGUCUCUGGGCCGAUACUGACGCUGAGGAGCGAAAGCAUGGGUAGCGAACAGG
rnacentral:rRNA from 1 species